GGUGACUACAGAUGUCUAUCUUCUUUUUCCACUUGAGUUUCCAAUUGUUAUAUUUAUAGGUAUUUAACUAUAAAACAAAAUGUUAAAUAAAAAUGUGAACUAUGAUGUAAUGCCAUAAUUAAAAGGAGCGGCCCUUUCAGCUUUUUCUUUACCGUCAAUAUUGAUCAUGACGCGAUAGUGACACACAGAAACCAUCCGAGGUCUGCGAUUGUAAUCACAGAUUCGCAAAACAUAACAAUGACGGACGAUCCGUGUGGAUCGCAAUGCAAGAGUUUGCAUUAUGCCACCUCGUGCAGCGAGAAAUUAGACGGACUUACGCACUGGAACGGUUUGGAUUACAAUAGAGCUUAGCAGGCGCGAUGGAGACAAUUAUGGACAAUAAGCGAGGUUUACAAGCGGGAUUUUAACUUCUUAACAACGGCCUAUUUGGUAGAGGAAUUGAUCUUGUUGACUGAAUUGAAGCGGUGGACGAUGUGUUAACAUUUUAAAUUUAACCAAGAUCAACAGAUAAGAUUACAAAUGGACCGAGGUGUACACUCAGAAAGGCAGUAUAAAUAUUAACGUUUUCUAAAUACAAAUCUCGAUCGAAUUCUGUCUGGCGAAAGAAAGUAAAUAUUGAUCGAGAAACACUUUUUCGUGUUGGCAUUUUGAUCGCAUACGUGUACAGUCCAGCCGGAUGCUUUUCAAUAGGAAAAGUUGGGAGCCUUCAAAGUUCUGAGGAUCUUUUCAACGCCAAUGAUAUGACGGAAUCAAUAUUGCACCAAGUUUGUUCGUGGUCCUGUUGUAACCCAGUUUCCACGUUCUUCGAGCGACAUAUGUCUGAUAUGGCAAUUAUUAAAACAGCGAGAAAGUUUA